rnacentral:rRNA from 1 species
AGGAUUAGAUACCCUAUUAUUUUUAUAGGGAUUGGAAUUAGUAUGAAGUUGAAAAUUAAUGGUUUUGGCGGCUGAUUAAUAUGUUAGGGGAGCUUGUUUUGGUAAAGUAAUUACUCUUUGUAUUUAUAAUAUUAUUGUUUAUUCAUCUCCGUUAAUAGAUAUUAUUAUAUUAUAAAAACAGUGCUUUUUAUUUCAGGUCAAGAUGUAGCUUUGAUUUUUAAUAAAAAUUAGCUAUGGUGAAUUAUGUGGAUUGAGAAAGAUGGCUCUUAAAAAGUAGUGUUUAAGAGAAUUAAAUUUAAUUGUAAUAGUAUCUAGAAAGAUAUUAUGAAUUAUGAUAAUUAGUGUACAGAUUGCCCGUCACUUCUGCUUACAGGCAGAAUAAGUCGUAACAAAGUA